rnacentral:lncRNA from 1 species
UGAAAGCAAGUAUAGGCAACCAUACAGCAUUCAACAAUGAGAAAACCCAUGUCGUAUGGUUGUCUUUAAAAGGCCUCCACAAUGUAAAAUAUGAAACAAUUCAACUAAUGGCCUAAUUUAUAAAAAAAAACAUAAAAAAUUUCAACAAAACAAAUAUGACAGAUGUGAACAAAUGACAACCACUGAACUACAGGCUCCUGAAUAAGAACAAACACAAAGAAUGUUGCUGGGUUAAACAAGUUUGUGUGUGCUCAACCCUACCUCAAACCUGGAACAGUUGUGUAAUACAUCUUACAAAAACAGAGUGGAUGUGGACGGGUACUUAAAUAUCCCAACAACAAAAAGACAGACCUGAGAGUACUCACAAUUACUUGCAGCUGGUUCAAAGCCAAGAUCAAGUAACAAAAAAAAUCCUGUAUUGAAGACAAAAUAUCAAUCAUUAUAAUGAUUAUACAUCCAA